GGGUGUUGAGGUCGGAAAUGGCUCCCGACACUCCCUUGUAUGAGGAUAGAACGGGCAUCUAUCACCUAUAUGGGUAAUGCGUGAGUGCCGACACGCCGCAAGGGAACCUGAGAUGUAGGAUACGCCGCCCUACCAACAUCC
rnacentral:ncRNA from 1 species